AUUCCAGCUCCAAUAGCGUACAUUAAAGUUGUUGCAGUUAAAAAGCUCGUAGUUGAAUUUCUGGUCGUGAAAAGUGGUCCGUUCCGCAAGGAAUGUGUACUGUCUAUUCAUGUCCAUCCUCGGAGUUAGUGUGUAUUACUUUAAUCGGUCGUGCAUGCAAUACUUCGUCAUUUACUGUGAGCAAAAUAGAGUGUUCAAAGCAGGCUUAUGCCGUUGAAUAUAUUAGCAUGGAAUAAUAAGAUAUGACUUUGGUCUAUUUUGUUGGUUUGCACUCCAAAGUAAUGAUUAAUAGGGAUAGUUGGGGGUAUUCGUAUUCAAUUGUCAGAGGUGAAAUUCUUGGAUUUAUGGAAGACGAACUACUGCGAAAGCAUUUACCAAGGAUGUUUUCAUUA
rnacentral:rRNA from 1 species